AGAAGCCCUUUGGCUAUGAGCUCCACAAUGAAAGGCACUAUCCAAUUAUUCUUGGUACCCAGCACCUGGUAAAGUAUUACAUUAUGAAAGGACAAGAGAGGAAGAAAACUAAGUAACCAGGAAGCAAAGGAGGUAGGGGAGUGGUGCUUCUAGUCCAGAGAGCACAUCUGGAAUUCCAGUCUGAGCUUACAGUUAGAACUCCUGAGCCCAGAUUCAACUUUGCAAGCAAA
rnacentral:sRNA from 1 species